rnacentral:rRNA from 1 species
UACAGAGGUCCCAAGCGUUGUUCGGAUUCAUUGGGCGUAAAGGGUGCGUAGGCGGCGCGGUAAGUCGGGUGUGAAAUCUCGGAGCUUAACUCCGAAACUGCAUUCGAUACUGCCGUGCUUGAGGACUGGAGAGGAGACUGGAAUUUACGGUGUAGCGGUGAAAUGCGUAGAUAUCGUAAGGAAGACCAGUGACGAAGGCGGGUCUCUGGACAGUUCCUGACGCUGAGGCACGAAGGCCAGGGGAGCAAACGGG